rnacentral:rRNA from 1 species
UGGGUGACGAGCGGCGGACGGGUGAGUAAUGUCUGGGAAACUGCCUGAUGGAGGGGGAUAACUACUGGAAACGGUAGCUAAUACCGCAUAACGUCGCAAGACCAAAGAGGGGGACCUUCGGGCCUCUUGCCAUCAGAUGUGCCCAGAUGGGAUUAGCUAGUAGGUGGGGUAAUGGCUCACCUAGGCGACGAUCCCUAGCUGGUCUGAGAGGAUGACCAGCCACACUGGAACUGAGACACGGUCCAGACUCCUACGGGAGGCAGCAGUGGGGAAUAUUGCACAAUGGGCGCAAGCCUGAUGCAGCCAUGCCGCGUGUGUGAAGAAGGCCUUCGGGUUGUAAAGCACUUUCAGCGAGGAGGAAGGUGGUGAACUUAAUACGUUCAUCAAUUGACGUUACUCGCAGAAGAAGCACCGGCUAACUCCGUGCCAGCAGCCGCGGUAAUACGGAGGGUGCAAGCGUUAAUCGGAAUUACUGGGCGUAAAGCGCACGCAGGCGGUUUGUUAAGUCAGAUGUGAAAUCCCCGGGCUCAACCUGGGAACUGCAUUUGAAACUGGCAAGCUAGAGUCUCG